rnacentral:lncRNA from 12 species
UGUACCCCCCUAUUGAUCCCUGAUCAAUCGAUCGCCUACAGCCACCAACCAAUCCCCAAUUAAUUGAUCCUCUGUAGAUCCCUGAUUGAUCCCCAAUAGCCUCCAAUAGAUCCGAUUGAUCCCCAAUAGCCCCCAAUAGAUCCCUGAUUGAUCCCCAAUAGCCCCAAUAGAUCUGAUUGAUCCCCAAUAGCCUCCAAUAGAUCCCCGAUUGAUCCCCAAUAGCCCCCAAUAGAUCCGAUUGAUCCCCAAUAGCCCCCAAUAGAUCCCUGAUUGAUCCCCAAUAGCCCCCAAUAGAUCCGAUUGAUCCCCAAUAACUGUUCCAGGUGUCUCCAGGUGUGCCCAGGUGUCUCCAGGUGCGUUCCCAGGUGCGUCCAGGUGUGUUACAGGUGUGCCCAAAGUCUCUCAGCGAUGUACCCAAGGUGUCAAAUCCCAACCAGAUCCCAUUUUUCUGUCCCAAGGCUGUUCCAGGUGUCUCCAGGUGUGCCCAGGUGUCUCCAGGUGCGUUCCCAGGUGCGUCCAGGUGUGUUACAGGUGUGCCCAAAGUCUCUCAGCGAUGUACCCAAGGUGUCAAAUCCCAACCAGAUCCCAUUUUUCUGUCCCAAGGCUGUUCCAGGUGUCUCCAGGUGUGCCCAGGUGUCUCCAGGUGCGUUCCCAGGUGCGUCCAGGUGUGUUACAGGUGUGCCCAAAGUCUCUCAGCGAUGUACCCAAGGUGUCAAAUCCCAACCAGAUCCCAUUUUUCUGUCCCAAGGCUGUUCCAGGUGUCUCCAGGUGUGCCCAGGUGUCUCCAGGUGCGUUCCCAGGUGCGUCCAGGUGUGUUACAGGUGUGCCCAAAGUCUCUCAGCGAUGUACCCAAGGUGUCAAAUCCCAACCAGAUCCCAUUUUUCUGUCCCAAGGCUGUUCCAGGUGUCUCCAGGUGUGCCCAGGUGUCUCCAGGUGCGUUCCCAGGUGCGUCCAGGUGUGUUACAGGUGUGCCCAAAGUCUCUCAGCGAUGUACCCAAGGUGUCAAAUCCCAACCAGAUCCCAUUUUUCUGUCCCAAGGCUGUUCCAGGUGUCUCCAGGUGUGCCCAGGUGUCUCCAGGUGCGUUCCCAGGUGCGUCCAGGUGUGUUACAGGUGUGCCCAAAGUCUCUCAGCGAUGUACCCAAGGUGUCAAAUCCCAACCAGAUCCCAUUUUUCUGUCCCAAGGCUGUUCCAGGUGUCUCCAGGUGUGCCCAGGUGUCUCCAGGUGCGUUCCCAGGUGCGUCCAGGUGUGUUACAGGUGUGCCCAAAGUCUCUCAGCGAUGUACCCAAGGUGUCAAAUCCCAACCAGAUCCCAUUUUUCUGUCCCAAGGCUGUUCCAGGUGUCUCCAGGUGUGCCCAGGUGUCUCCAGGUGCGUUCCCAGGUGCGUCCAGGUGUGUUACAGGUGUGCCCAAAGUCUCUCAGCGAUGUACCCAAGGUGUCAAAUCCCAACCAGAUCCCAUUUUUCUGUCCCAAGGCUGUUCCAGGUGUCUCCAGGUGUGCCCAGGUGUCUCCAGGUGCGUUCCCAGGUGCGUCCAGGUGUGUUACAGGUGUGCCCAAAGUCUCUCAGCGAUGUACCCAAGGUGUCAAAUCCCAACCAGAUCCCAUUUUUCUGUCCCAAGGCUGUUCCAGGUGUCUCCAGGUGUGCCCAGGUGUCUCCAGGUGCGUUCCCAGGUGCGUCCAGGUGUGUUACAGGUGUGCCCAAAGUCUCUCAGCGAUGUACCCAAGGUGUCAAAUCCCAACCAGAUCCCAUUUUUCUGUCCCAAGGCUGUUCCAGGUGUCUCCAGGUGUGCCCAGGUGUCUCCAGGUGCGUUCCCAGGUGCGUCCAGGUGUGUUACAGGUGUGCCCAAAGUCUCUCAGCGAUGUACCCAAGGUGUCAAAUCCCAACCAGAUCCCAUUUUUCUGUCCCAAGGCUGUUCCAGGUGUCUCCAGGUGUGCCCAGGUGUCUCCAGGUGCGUUCCCAGGUGCGUCCAGGUGUGUUACAGGUGUGCCCAAAGUCUCUCAGCGAUGUACCCAAGGUGUCAAAUCCCAACCAGAUCCCAUUUUUCUGUCCCAAGGCUGUUCCAGGUGUCUCCAGGUGUGCCCAGGUGUCUCCAGGUGCGUUCCCAGGUGCGUCCAGGUGUGUUACAGGUGUGCCCAAAGUCUCUCAGCGAUGUACCCAAGGUGUCAAAUCCCAACCAGAUCCCAUUUUUCUGUCCCAAGGCUGUUCCAGGUGUCUCCAGGUGUGCCCAGGUGUCUCCAGGUGCGUUCCCAGGUGCGUCCAGGUGUGUUACAGGUGUGCCCAAAGUCUCUCAGCGAUGUACCCAAGGUGUCAAAUCCCAACCAGAUCCCAUUUUUCUGUCCCAAGGCUGUUCCAGGUGUCUCCAGGUGUGCCCAGGUGUCUCCAGGUGCGUUCCCAGGUGCGUCCAGGUGUGUUACAGGUGUGCCCAAAGUCUCUCAGCGAUGUACCCAAGGUGUCAAAUCCCAACCAGAUCCCAUUUUUCUGUCCCAAGGCUGUUCCAGGUGUCUCCAGGUGUGCCCAGGUGUCUCCAGGUGCGUUCCCAGGUGCGUCCAGGUGUGUUACAGGUGUGCCCAAAGUCUCUCAGCGAUGUACCCAAGGUGUCAAAUCCCAACCAGAUCCCAUUUUUCUGUCCCAAGGCUGUUCCAGGUGUCUCCAGGUGUGCCCAGGUGUCUCCAGGUGCGUUCCCAGGUGCGUCCAGGUGUGUUACAGGUGUGCCCAAAGUCUCUCAGCGAUGUACCCAAGGUGUCAAAUCCCAACCAGAUCCCAUUUUUCUGUCCCAAGGCUGUUCCAGGUGUCUCCAGGUGUGCCCAGGUGUCUCCAGGUGCGUUCCCAGGUGCGUCCAGGUGUGUUACAGGUGUGCCCAAAGUCUCUCAGCGAUGUACCCAAGGUGUCAAAUCCCAACCAGAUCCCAUUUUUCUGUCCCAAGGCUGUUCCAGGUGUCUCCAGGUGUGCCCAGGUGUCUCCAGGUGCGUUCCCAGGUGCGUCCAGGUGUGUUACAGGUGUGCCCAAAGUCUCUCAGCGAUGUACCCAAGGUGUCAAAUCCCAACCAGAUCCCAUUUUUCUGUCCCAAGGCUGUUCCAGGUGUCUCCAGGUGUGCCCAGGUGUCUCCAGGUGCGUUCCCAGGUGCGUCCAGGUGUGUUACAGGGGUGCCCAAAGUCUCUCAGCGAUGUACCCAAGGUGUCAAAUCCCAACCAGAUCCCAUUUUUCUGUCCCAAGGCUGUUCCAGGUGUCUCCAGGUGUGCCCAGGUGUCUCCAGGUGCGUUCCCAGGUGCGUCCAGGUGUGUUACAGGGGUGCCCAAAGUCUCUCAGCGAUGUACCCAAGGUGUCAAAUCCCAACCAGAUCCCAUUUUUCUGUCCCAAGGCUGUUCCAGGUGUCUCCAGGUGUGCCCAGGUGUCUCCAGGUGCGUUCCCAGGUGCGUCCAGGUGUGUUACAGGGGUGCCCAAAGUCUCUCAGCGAUGUACCCAAGGUGUCAAAUCCCAACCAGAUCCCAUUUUUCUGUCCCAAGGCUGUUCCAGGUGUCUCCAGGUGUGCCCAGGUGUCUCCAGGUGCGUUCCCAGGUGCGUCCAGGUGUGUUACAGGGGUGCCCAAAGUCUCUCAGCGAUGUACCCAAGGUGUCAAAUCCCAACCAGAUCCCAUUUUUCUGUCCCAAGGCUGUUCCAGGUGUCUCCAGGUGUGCCCAGGUGUCUCCAGGUGCGUUCCCAGGUGCGUCCAGGUGUGUUACAGGGGUGCCCAAAGUCUCUCAGCGAUGUACCCAAGGUGUCAAAUCCCAACCAGAUCCCAUUUUUCUGUCCCAAGGCUGUUCCAGGUGUCUCCAGGUGUGCCCAGGUGUCUCCAGGUGCGUUCCCAGGUGCGUCCAGGUGUGUUACAGGUGUGCCCAAAGUCUCUCAGCGAUGUACCCAAGGUGUCAAAUCCCAACCAGAUCCCAUUUUUCUGUCCCAAGGCUGUUCCAGGUGUCUCCAGGUGCGUCCCCAGGUGCGUCCAGGUGUGUUCCCAGGUGCACCCAGGUGUCCCCAGGUGCGUCCAGGUGUGUUCCCAGGUGCACCCAGGUGUCCCCAGGUGCGUCCAGGUGUGUUCCCAGGUGCACCCAGGUGUCUCCAGGUGUGUUCCCAGGUGUGCCCCCAAG